rnacentral:lncRNA from 1 species
UCCAUCAGAAACUUCCUCCUGUCAGGCGGCGGUGGUGGUGCAUGCCUUUAAUCCAAGCACUCAGGAGGCAGAGGCAGGUGGAUCUCUGAGUUUGAGGCCAGGGCUACACAGUGAGGUCCUGUCUCCAAAACAAUACCUCUUCUGGUUUCUACAACUCUCCAGCCAUUCUCUGACCCCAUGGAAACUGCUUAUGGUACAAGAGAUUGAACCUAGAGCUGUGUGCCUCCUGGGCAAGCACUCUCUACUGAGCUACAUCCCUGUUAAAGUGCCUUUUUUGGGAGCUUUGUCUUCCAGCCUACCAAUCAACCCACUUUAUGGGUGUGCCUAGAUUCCCCUUUGCUCUGCAGUACCAGCAGCCAGACAUGAGUUCUGCUUGAACCAUAUUCCCCACAUAAGCUACAAAAUGAGCUACCCACUACAAAUAAGAACCUUUCUCUGUGUGGGGUGAGCUGUGAAGGGCUAAAUAAACAAUAAAAAGUAUUGUCAAAGUCUAUAAAAAAAAAAAAAG